rnacentral:rRNA from 1 species
UUUAGUGUAUCUUCUGAGUAAAACAAGCAAAUAAAUUAAAACUUUCAACAACGGAUCUCUUGGCUCUGGCAUCGAUGAAGAACGCAGCGAAAUGCGAUAAGUAAUGUGAAUUGCAGAAUUCAGUGAAUCAUCGAAUCUUUGAACGCACAUUGCGCCCGCCAGUAUUCUGGCGGGCAUGCCUGUUCGAGCGUCAUUACAACCCUCAGGCCCCCGGGCCUGGCGUUGGGGAUCGGCGGAGCCCCCCGUGGGCACACGCCGUCCCCCAAAUACAGUGGCGGUCCCGCCGCAGCUUCCAUCGCGUAGUAGCUAACACCUCGCGACUGGAGAGCGGCGCGGCCACGCCGUAAAACACCCAACUCUUCUGAAGUUGACCUCGAAUCAGGUAGGAAUACCCGCUGAACUUAAGCAUAUCAAUAAGCGGAGGA